UCAAGCGGUGGUAACCCUAUCCGCCUUCAAAUCAACUUGAAACAGGACCCAAUUUCUCAAGCUCCACAUAUUCGGCUACUGGACCUCUGUGCGAGCCGAGCGUUCGUCAAUUCUCUUCUUUAUAUUAAAAUAAUGCUCGUAUAGAGGACUGUGGAAACUUGUUGUAAAAUCAUAUAAAGAAUAUUUAUAAUGUGGUUACCUACAAGUUUAUUAGGGAUUAUACUAGCGCUCAGCUACGCGCUCUUCUUCAAUGCAAGUCCAGUAUCUUCACAAACGUGUGCAGGUUGUCAAGCAUGUGUCCCGAAAUGUAUCGGAGAAAAAGGAUCUAGGGGUGAAAGAGGAUUCCAAGGAAUUCAAGGAGUUCAAGGAUUGCC